rnacentral:rRNA from 1 species
GCGAACGCUGGCGGCAGGCUUAACACAUGCAAGUCGAGCGGGCACUUUCGGGUGUCAGCGGCGGACGGGUGAGUAACGCGUGGGAACGUGCCCUCUGGUUCGGAAUAACUCAGGGAAACUUUAGCUAAUACCGGAUACGCCCUUUUGGGGAAAGGCUUGCUGCCGGAGGAUCGGCCCGCGUCUGAUUAGCUAGUUGGUGAGGUAACGGCUCACCAAGGCGACGAUCAGUAGCUGGUCUGAGAGGAUGAUCAGCCACACUGGGACUGAGACACGGCCCAGACUCCUACGGGAGGCAGCAGUGGGGAAUAUUGGACAAUGGGCGCAAGCCUGAUCCAGCCAUGCCGCGUGAGUGAUGAAGGCCUUAGGGUUGUAAAGCUCUUUUAUCCGGGACGAUAAUGACGGUACCGGAGGAAUAAGCCCCGGCUAACUUCGUG